rnacentral:rRNA from 2 species
GGCGUAAGCGCGCGCAGGCGGUUUCUUAAGUCUGAUGUGAAAGCCCACGGCUCACCCGUGGAGGGUCAUUGGAAACUGGGGAACUUGAGUGCAGAACCCUUAGAGGAAUUCCACGUGUAGCGGUGAAAUGCGUAGAGAUGUGGAGGAACACCAGUGGCGAAGGCGGCUUUUUUCUCUGUAAAUGACGCUGAGGCGCGAAAGCGUGGGGAGCAAACAGGAUUAGAUACCCUGGUAGUCCACGCCGUAACCGAUGAGUGCUAAGUGUUAGAGGGUUUCCGCCCUUUCUUGUUGCAGCUAACGCAUUAAGCAUUCCGCCUGGGGAGUACGGUGGCAAGACUGAAAUUAAAAGAAAUUGAUGGGGGCCGGCCCCACCGGU